CAGUCGCCGCGGUAAUACAGAGGGUGCGAGCGUUAAUCGGAUUUACUGGGCGUAAAGCGUGCGUAGGCGGCUUCUUAAGUCGGAUGUGAAAUCCCUGAGCUUAACUUAGGAAUUGCAUUCGAUACUGGGAAGCUAAAGUAUGGGAGAGGAUGGUAGAAUUCCAGGUGUAGCGGUGAAAUGCGUAGAGAUCUGGAGGAAUACCGAUGGCGAAGGCAGCCAUCUGGCCUAAUACUGACGCUGAGGUACGAAAGCAUGGGGAGCAAACAGGAUUAGAGACCCCAGUAGUCCCUGUCUCUUAUAA
rnacentral:rRNA from 1 species